GCGGCGAGCGAAGCGGGAUGAGCCCAGAUUUGAAAGCUCUCUGCCGUGCGGCAGAGCGCAUUGUACGCUGGAGACGCGCCUCCUGUGGCGGGGCUGUGCCCAAGUCUGCUGGAAAGCAGCAUCAGAGAGGGUGAGAAUCCCGUGCUUGGUGCGGCGGCCUGCUGCGUUGUGUGGGGCGCGCUCGACGAGUCGCGUUGUUUGGGAAUGCAGCGCAAAAAGGGUGGUAAACGCCAUCUAAGGCUAAAUACCGGGGAGAGACCGAUAGCGAACAAGUACCGUGAGGGAAAGAUGAAAAGCACUUUGGAAAGAGAGUUAAAGAGUACGUGAAAUUGCCAAAAGGGAAGCGCUGGCGGUCUGUGCCGCAGCAGGGUUGCCUUGUUCAACUCUGUGGGGUGUGUGCCCGUUGGUUGGCUGGGAGAGAAGGCAGUGCGGAAGGUGGCCUGGCCUGUAUGGGCGAGGUGUUAGAGCCGCAGCUGUGGAUCGCCCGCCACCGACGGCGUGCAGACUUGAUGGCCGUCAGCGGCCCGU
rnacentral:rRNA from 1 species